AAGAUCAAAGCAGAGGAAGCCACACAAUGCAGAGAAUCAACAGUGGAGCUAUGCCUAGUGAGAAGCAAAGAGACACUGGAUGGCCUGAGAGGGAAAGAGACUGAGAAAAGCUGUCAGCUUUUAGUUCCUGGUUCCAGUCCUUUGUGACGGCCAGCUUGAUUAGAGGAAUCAAAAAGAUGAUUACAUAUUUAUAAAAUGAGCAUCUGAAAAAUGAAGAGCACAAUUCCAGUUUUUACAUGCAGUUCCAGUACUACGCAUAAGAUAGAAAAGGUCAUUUGGAAAAUAUAGCCAUUUUUGGAAGACUGAGCAGCCAAGGUUCUUAAGUAUAGGAGAUUGGGACAAAACAAAAAAAAGGUUUAUAACAGUUCACUACUUCAUCUACAUCCUCAAGCCAACACCUAUGAAAAAGAUAAUGGUGUCCGAUGACAGGCCUCUGCUAACAGUGUAAGGCUAUCUGUGAACU
rnacentral:lncRNA from 1 species